CUUUAGGCUUUUCUCAAAGCCACUAACAUGAACUGGCGCAGGCUAU
rfam:Alligator mississippiensis ScZkoYb_58, whole genome shotgun sequence.